UGGGGAAUAUUGUACAAUGGAGGGAACUCUGAUGCAGCGACGCCGCGUGAACGAAGAAGGCUUUCGAGUCGUAAAGUUCUUUUAUAUGGGAAGAUAAUGACGGUACCAUAAGAAAAAGCCCCGGCUAACUACGUGCCAGCAGCCGCGGUAAUACGUAGGGGGCUAGCGUUGUCCGGAAUCACUGGGCGUAAAGGGUUCGCAGGCGGAAAUGCAAGUCAGGUGUAAAAGGCAGUAGCUUAACUACUGUAAGCAUUUGAAACUGCAUAUCUUGAGAAGAGUAGAGGUAAGUGGAAUUUUUAGUGUAGCGGUGAAAUGCGUAGAUAUUAAAAAGAAUACCGGUGGCGAAGGCGACUUACUGGGCUCAUUCUGACGCUGAGGAACGAAAGCGUGGGUAGCAAACAGG
rnacentral:rRNA from 3 species